rnacentral:rRNA from 1 species
GACGAACGCUGGCGGCGUGCUUAACACAUGCAAGUCGAACGAAGUGGCGAACUGGUGAGUAACGCGUAAUCAACCUGCCCUUCAGAGGGGGACAACAGUUGGAAACGACUGCUAAUACCGCAUACUGAAGGAGGGGAUUGCGUCUGAUUAGCUAGUGGGAGGGGUAAAGGCCCACCAAGGCGCUGAUCAGUAGCCGGUCUGGGAGGAUGAACGGACAAAAUGGGACUGAGACACGGCCCAGACUCCUACGGGAGGCAGCAGUGGGGAAUCUUCCGCAAUGGAAGAAAGUUGGACGGAGCAACGCCGCGUGAGUGAUGAAGGCCUUCGGGUUGUAAAGAUCUGUUAAUCGGGACGCGGUACCGGAAUAGAAAGCCACGGCUAACUACGUGCCAGCAGCCGCGGUAAUUC